rnacentral:siRNA from 1 species
UAGAAUUUCAGAGACCAUAAA